AUUGAACGCUGGCGGAAUGCUUUACACAUGCAAGUCGAGCGGCAGCACGGACUUCGGUCUGGUGGCGAGUGGCGAACGGGUGAGUAAUAUAUCGGAACGUAUCCAAUAAUGGGGGAUAACUAAUCGAAAGGUUGGCUAAUACCGCAUACGCCCUACGGGGGAAAGCUAGGGACCUUCGGGCCUGGCGUUAAUGGAGCGGCUGAUAUCUGAUUAGCUAGUUGGUGAGGUAAAGGCUCACCAAGGCGACGAUCAGUAGCUGGUCUGAGAGGACGACCAGCCACACUGGAACUGAGACACGGUCCAGACUCCUACGGGAGGCAGCAGUGGGGAAUUUUUGGACAAUGGGCGCAAGCCUGAUCCAGCCAUUCCGCGUGAGUGAAGAAGGCCUUCGGGUUGUAAA
rnacentral:rRNA from 1 species